CGGGGUGGAUGAAAUAGAGGCUCGCUUUCGAAGUCUUAUGUGAUAACAAGUUACCACAUAAACUUAAAUGUAAGCUCUACGGAGUUGUGGUUAGACCAACAAGGACGGAAUAGCUUCAGUGGUGGGCUAGACGAGGGAAGCGAGACUGAGAUGGUUUGGACAUAGUAAGGAGGUGCGAGAGAUUGGAUAUAGUGGAGAGGUAGGCCGAAGUACUAUUGGGGAGAGGUGACUACACAAGACAUGGAAGCUUUAGCUUACCGAGGACAUGAUAGGAGGGCUUGGAGGUCACAAAUUAGAGUAGAAGGUUAGUAGGUAGUUGAACUUUGACUCGCUUCUCGGUGGAUUUAGGCUUGGUGGGAGCUUUGUGUCUGUAGUAGUAUUAGUUGCAUACAUGUAUUGUAAUUUCAGUUAUCGCCUAUGUUGCUCGGACUCUUCAAAAAUGUUGUCACACCCAUGUCAAAUCCUCCAAACAUGCACUAUUUCUAUAGUAUCCAACACGUACCUAUCAAUAUUUUAGAAAAGUCCGAGCAACAUAGGUUACCGUAUUAUUUCAUUGUGUUAUGCUUCUUUUCCAUGGAUGCUCUGUAGUGCUCCCCGUAUUAAUUAACAUGUUUACCCCAUUGUCGUAUUCCCUUUUAUCGUAAUACUUUGAUUUACCACCCUAGUUACAAAAAUACCAGUUGAUGAUGAUGUAACAAGACACUUAUGCCCCUAACAUGCAAAAGGCUUCGAGCAAAAACUUCUUUCCCCGUGUCUCUUCCGGUCCUAAUCCUCUUUUCCUGUUCACUCACUACACCUCUCCAUCAGCCCCCAAAAUCUCCUCCCUCUUCUAACAUUGCAAAUCACCUACCGUUCAACCUUUGCCUUACCACCCCCAACCCUUUCUCCUCCAACAUCAGCUACAAGAUGUAACCCAUCCGCCCACAACUUCAGCACCCACUUGCUCUUCUACAAUUUCCUUUGUUUUCUUGGGAAAAUUCAAGCACAACUUUUUUGCAACUAGUUUUUUUUAUUUUUAGAAGGGACUUUUGCAACUAGUUUUCAUACACUUCAUAUCAUGUAAUUUCUUGUUUCACUAGAUAUUUUUUACUUUUUGCAUUAUGUUAAAACUCUAUUUACUUCAAAUUUUCCAAAGUUUUUAUGACAGUU
rnacentral:lncRNA from 1 species